rnacentral:rRNA from 1 species
CCUACGGGAGGCAGCAGUGGGGAAUAUUGCGCAAUGGGCGAAAGCCUGACGCAGCGACGCCGCGUGAGGGAUGAAGGUCUUCGGAUCGUAAACCUCUGUCAGCAGGGAAGAACGGUCACUGUGCUAAUCAGCAGUGAAUUGACGGUACCUGCAAAGGAGCAACGGCUAACCCCGUUCAAGGAGCCGCGGUAAUAAGGAGGGUGCGAGCGUUAAUCGGAAUUACUGGGCGUAAAGCGCUGGUAGGCGGGAUGUCAAGUCAAGGGUGAAAGCCCCGCGCUCAACGUGGGAACUGCCUUUGAAACUGGCAGACUGGAGUGUGUGAGAGGUUAGUGGAAUUCCAGGUGUAGGAGUGAAAUCCGUAGAUAUCUGGAGGAACAUCAGUGGCGAAGGCGACUAUCUGGCACAUAACUGACGCUGAGGAGCGAAAGCGUGGGUAGCAAACAGGAUUAGAUACCCCAGUAGUC